AACUUUUGGCAACGGAUCACUUGGCUCUCGCAUCGAUGAAGAACGCAGCGAAAUGCGAUAAGUAAUGUGAAUUGCAGAAUUCAGUGAAUCAUCGAUUCUUUGAACGCACCUUGCGCUCCCUGGUAUUCCGGGGAGCACGCCUGUUCGAGUGUCGCGAAAUUUCUCAAGCUUGGAUGGCCUUUUUGUCUGUCCUUAGGCUUGGUUGUUGGGCUUUUCCGUGUCCUUUGUUGGGACGGCUCGCCUUAAAAGCAUUAGCUGAUCCUCGUGUGGCACCGCUUCUACUCAGCGUUAUAACAGUCUGAUCGCUGAGGACAUCUUUUGGGAUGGCCAGUUCUCAUUUGGUUUGCUUCCAAACUUGGUUUUGCAGAUUCUUCAAUCUGUGUUCCACUUUUCAGCUUUGACCUCGACUCAGGUGGGACUACCCGCUGAAUUUAAGCAUAUCAAUAAGCGGAGGCU
rnacentral:misc_RNA from 1 species